UCUUUCUCUGUAUGUGUUCGCCUAAACAUUACGGAGGCUACAGAGCUCCGGCCUCCGUCCGUCGUCCCAGUUUCCCGGAAGCAGCAUCUCCGCAAGCCCUUAACCCCUGUUCGCCAUGGCGUCAGCCGCUCGCGGAAGCGGAGGGGGUCUCAUGCGCGGCCUCCGCGGGGCGAUUGCGCGUCGGAGCUCGGUCUGCGCGGGCUCCCGCGUCGACGGAGCCCUUCUCCGGGAACGGAUUCACCAAGCGAAGCAAGACAUGUCCCGAUCAUCAUCGAUGUCAUUGAUGAAGCGUAUAAGUCCAUUUUUUGCUGGUCAAAUUCGAGAGAACCAGAGGCUUUUGAGCUCUUCCUCUUCUUCUGCACUUCAUGAAGCUUCUUCCUCUUCAUCACCAUCUGUUGAUGAUGUACAUAUGACAGCCGCUUGCAUCCAGAGAAUGAAAGAACUGCAGGCUGCUGAAGGUUCCCUUAAAGAAAAAAUGCUUCGUCUGAGUGUAGAAACUGGUGGAUGUUCAGGAUUUCAAUAUGUUUUUAAUUUGGUUGAAAAAGCCGAUUCAGAUGACAGCUUGUACUUUUUUUCAGGGUUUUUGAGAAAGAUGAAGUUAAACUUGUUGUAGACAAUAUUUCAUAUGAUUUUGUGAAAGGGGCAACUGUUGAUUAUGUCGAAGAGCUUAUCCGUGCUGCUUUCCAGGUAACUGCAAACCCAAGUGCAGUGGGAGGGUGUGGCUGCAAAAGUUCUUUCAUGGUAAAACAGUAGUCCUCCAAUUUGCUGUUUUCCGAUCGUCAACCCACUUACCAGCGAUGUAUUCGUCUUCUGAGAAACAAUGCAUUCUUUGAUUGUAAUUCUGGGGAAUAAAACCAUGGAGCCAUUGUGUAAUCCAUUGUAAAAGUAAAUAGCCAUCCAUUCUUCUGGAAAUAAAAGGCGCACCAAUUUGUGAACUGAUGAUGCUAAUAUUUGUAAACUCAAUUAACUCGACCGGCAUUUUGGACUCGUAGCAAUUGUUGGGAUAAUGAGGGAUGAUUCUUUCGAUA